UACGUAGGGGGCUAGCGUUGUCCGGAAUCAUUGGGCGUAAAGCGCGUGUAGGCGGCCCGGUAAGUCCGCUGUGAAAGUCGGGGGCUCAACCCUCGGAUGCCGGUGGAUACUGUCGGGCUAGAGUACGGAAGAGGCGAGUGGAAUUCCUGGUGUAGCGGUGAAAUGCGCAGAUAUCGGGAGGAACACCAAUGGCGAAGGCAGCUCGCUGGGACGGUACUGACGCUGAGACGCGAAAGCGUGGGGAGCAAACAGG
rnacentral:rRNA from 1 species